GUAGGGAAUUUUGCGCAAUGGACGCAAGUCUGACGCAGCAACGCCGCGUGAGUGAUGAAGGUCUUCGGAUUGUAAAGCUCUGUUGAGUGGGAAGAAAAGUUCCGAUUUUAACAAAAUCGGGGCCUGACGGUACCGCUCGAGGAAGGACCGGCUAACUACGUGCCAGCAGCCGCGGUAAUACGUAGGGUCCAAGCGUUGUUCGGAAUCACUGGGCGUAAAGGGAGCGUAGGCGGAGCCGUAAGUUAGAAGUUUAAUGCCCGGGCUUAACCCGGGAUCUGCUUCUAAUACUGCGGUCCUUGAGUAUGGAAGAGGGAGAUGGAAUUCCAGGUGUAGCGGUGGAAUGCGUAGAUAUCUGGAAGAACACCAGCAGCGAAGGCGGUCUCCUGGUCCAAUACUGACGCUGAGGCUCGAAAGUUAGGGGAGCAAACAGGAUUAGAAACCCUAGUAGUCC
rnacentral:rRNA from 1 species